AUGAACGCUAGCUACAGGCUUAACACAUGCAAGUCGAGGGGCAGCAGGUAUCUAGCUUGCUAGAUAUGCUGGCGACCGGCGCACGGGUGCGUAACACGUAUCCAACCUACCCAUCUGCUCUGGGAUAGCCUUUCGAAAGAAAGAUUAAUACCGGGAUGGUUCGUUUUCCGCAUGGAUUUACGAAUAAAGAUUUAUCGGCGAUGGAUGGGGAUGCGUCCGAUUAGCUUGUUGGCGGGGUAACGGCCCACCAAGGCGACGAUCGGUAGGGGGCUCUGAGAGGAGGGUCCCCCACAUUGGAACUGAGACACGGUCCAAACUCCUACGGGAGGCAGCAGUGAGGAAUAUUGGUCAAUGGGCGAGAGCCUGAACCAGCCAAGUAGCGUGAGGGAUGACUGCCCUAUGGGUUGUAAACCUCUUUUGUUUGGGAAUAAAGUGCGGGACGCGUCCUGCAUUGCAUGUACCUUACGAAUAAGCAUCGGCUAAUUCCGUGCC
rnacentral:rRNA from 1 species